UCAAAUAAAUAAAUAAAAUCUUAAAAAAAAAAGUAAUAGCUCAGUCUGAGCCAAAGUAGUAAUUAUUAUAGUUUUAUAACUGAGAGGGAUGGCAACUGUGGUCUUUCAUCAAGAUUCUGAGAGCCUGAGCAAUGACAGCUUAAGCCCUGUCUUUUUCUAGUUAGCUACAUUGGUUAUUUUUAUUUUUAUAAAGUUAUGCAAUUCCUAACACAUUUAUUGGUCAUUUGCUGUGGAAUCAAAUGCUUGGCAUUUCUGUUGGAUAGACUUUAAAAGUCCAUUAAUAACAGUUAUUCAAAUAAGUAUUUAAUGCCUAUUACGUGCCAGGCAGGAUAUAUCAGUAAAUAAACAUGUCCUCUUGGAGUUUACAUUUUAGUGUAAGAGCGAGAAAACAAGCAUACGAACAAAAAAAUAUGUGGAGAUAAGGACUAUAAGAACAAGAUAGGAUGGCGGACAAAGGGGUACUAAGGAGAAAGGGAGAAGGAGGGGGAGAGACGGAGAGGGAUUAGUUUUGCUCUGGUGGUCAAGGAAGACAUCUUUAAGGCUGUAGCAUUUUUGCCGAGACUUGUUAAAAGACAAACUAAAUUUUAAGUUUAUUCAAGCAAAAAUUGAUUGGAAUUAGGUGCUGCCAAACCAAAUGUAGCUAUGAGCGCUAAGCCAACAGAAUUCAGAGGAAAGACUUAUAUACACAAAGUGCAGAAGCAGAGAAAGGAAAGUAUUUGAUUGGCUAUAUAUUGAAGUCUAGUUGGCUUUUUGUGAUUGGUUAUCUUAGCGUUUUUUUGUUUGUGUUUUUUUUUUAAAGAUUUUAUUUAUUUAUUUAUUUGACAGAGAGAGACACAGGGAGAGAGGGAACACAAGCAGGGGGAGUGGGAGAGGGAGAAGCAGGCUUCCCGCCGAGCAGGGAGCCCGUUGCGGGGCUCGAUCCCAGGACCCUGGGACCAUGACCUGAGCCGAAGGCAGAUGCCUAACGAGACUCUUAAAUCUCAAAACCAUGGAGACUGCAUGUGGCUAAGAGCUUGGGCUCUACCCUCAGAGUCUGAACUCUUAUUUUUGCCUAAGGCUAGCAGUAUGUGACACCAUCUCAUUUGUGAUGCUGGGCAGUGGCGAUGGGCCACAGCUCCCAGUCAGCCACGAUUAUGAAGGAAUGCAGUUUUCCUAAGCUUCAAUCCACUCAGCAUGUGUGCCUUCCAACAGACCUGCAGCCGCUAGCAAGAAGAAUGAAGUGGAAGAGACAGUACCGGAAAAAUGCAGUUUACGUCUCAUUUGCCAGAACUGAGUCAUGGGGGCCACCUCUACCUGCAAGGCAAUCUGAGAAGG